rnacentral:lncRNA from 1 species
GAAAACCAUGGAAAACCAGGGUGAAAAUUCCAGCAGAGACAAAGUGCUAGGUGAUUUCUUCGGUACUUAAAAUGGUGGGAGGUAGCAAGUACCCGAUGAAAUAAGGAAGGUGUGCGCGGCAGGUGGCCCAGACACUGCGGCUUUUUAGAAAUGAAAUGAUCUUGCUGAUAAUCUUAAAGUUCUUUGAACCAAUAAAUAUGAGAAAAAUUACCUUAUUUUCCAACUGUUUGGAAAACUAGAAUUGUCUUCCUUGCGACCCUGUUCUACUAUAAUUAUUUGAUACUAGUGGUAGAUGUAGUUGUCUUCCAAGUGAAAGCAAUCAUAAGUGAAGAACAUCUCGACACUUUUACUUCCAAGUACACAGAAUAAGAAGUUGGCAGUACUCUAUAGAAAAUGCCAUGCUAGUAUAUGCAUUAUGUAAUCAUAUUUUAUUUGUUAAUAUCAAUGUUGACAAGUAUAUUGCUUUUGAUGGUUGCCAGUUAAUAGUGAGAGCUAGAGAUUUGCCUUUAAAUAUUGUCUCAAAUAACUUGUUUUGAUGUAGAAUACUUUUGAAAGAAAGAAACAAGAAUUAUUAGCUUCUCAAAGUGCAUCAGCUGCGGAAGGAGAAACUAAUUUAGC